AGAACAAAAAUCGAAGCGUCGCUAUUUAUGAAAUAUUAUUAUAUUUUGUUUGGUUGAUCGCGUCGGAAUUGAGCCGUCUUUCAUAUGUUAAUUCAUGUCAAAGUGGCUUAAAAUUCAUCAAUCUGGUACGAUUUAAAGCGUAUUUAAGAUCAACCUUGAUUAAGAACGCGCGAUGACGUAUCAUCUCAUGUAGUACGUUCGACCUGCUUGUCAGACUCAUUCGUAUACGACACUCAAC
rnacentral:misc_RNA from 1 species